GACGAACGCUGGCGGCGUGCUUAACACAUGCAAGUCGAACGGAAAGGCCCUGCUUUUGUGGGGUGCUCGAGUGGCGAACGGGUGAGUAACACGUGAGUAACCUGCCCUUGACUUUGGGAUAACUUCAGGAAACUGGGGCUAAUACCGGAUAGGAGCUCCUGCUGCAUGGUGGGGGUUGGAAAGUUUCGGCGGUUGGGGAUGGACUCGCGGCUUAUCAGCUUGUUGGUGGGGUAGUGGCUUACCAAGGCUUUGACGGGUAGCCGGCCUGAGAGGGCGACCGGCCACAUUGGGACUGAGAUACGGCCCAGACUCCUACGGGAGGCAGCAGUGGGGAAUAUUGCACAAGGGGCGGAAGCCGGAUGCAGCAACGCCGCGUGCGGGAUGACGGCCUUCGGGUUGUAAACCGUUUUCGCCUGGGACGAAGCGUGAGUGACGGUAAUGGGUAAAGAAGCACCGGCUAACUACGUG
rnacentral:rRNA from 1 species